rnacentral:rRNA from 1 species
GGUGAACGCUGGCGGCGUGCUUGACACAUGCAAGUCGAACGGUAUGUGGCAACACAUAGAGUGGCGAACGGGUGAGUAACACGUGGGAACGUACCUUCUGCAGGAGGAUAACUGACCGAAAGGACAGCUAAUACCGCAUAAGACCGAGAGGAGAAAGGUGCAACAGCAUCGGCAGAGGAGCGGCCCGCGGACCAUCAGCUAGUUGGUGGGGUAAGAGCCUACCAAGGCAACGACGGAUAGCCGGCGUGAGAGCGUGGCCGGCCACAAGGACACUGAGAUACGGGUCCUACUCCUACGGGAGGCAGCAGUGCGGAAUUUUAGAUAAUGGAGGCAACUCUGAUCUAGCGACGCCGCGUGCAGGAAGAAGGUCUUCGGAUUGUAAACUGCUGUGGUAAGGGAAAAUGCCAUGUAGAGUGGAAAGCUACAUGGAGGGAUGGUACUUUACUAGAAAGCCCGGCUAACUACGUGCCAGCAGCCGCGGUAAAGU